rnacentral:lncRNA from 1 species
AUGGAUGCAAUGGCUCAAGCAGAUUCUACCGGAAUGUUCAUAUGUCCACAUACAGGAGUGGCAUUGACAGCAUUGAUUAAGCUCAGGGACAGUGGGGUUAUAGGACCUACUGAUCGGACAGUGGUGGUGAGUACUGCUCAUGGGUUAAAAUUUACUCAGAGUAAGAUUGAUUAUCACUCUAGUGAUAUUAAAGACAUGGCUUGUAGGUUUGCUAAUCCACCUGUGAGUGUUAAGGCAGAUUUUGGUUCAGUUAUGGAUGUUCUGAAGAAGUAUUUGUUGAGUAAAGAACCCAAGUAUUAGGUCGAUCAUUGUAACUUCUGCUCAUGUAACUCUAGCUUAUUGUUGUUUCUGUAUGGCUGCAGGUGGUCUCAUUUAAGGAUCUUUGGUAUUGGAUGGUUGUAGAGAGGAUUUCACACUCUCUUUUUUAGUAGUAUUUAGAAGAGAGAAACCAUAUGGUCAAGUAGCCAUCUUUGGACGAGGUCCUUAUCAUUUGGAUUUAAUAAAACUUUUGUUGAGCUUUCUUCUUGAAGUAUUUAUUUACUGUAUCUCACAUUUAUCAUUUGUUGUAUUUGUAUGCAUGAUAUCAUCAUUGAAUAUUUAUUGGUUAGAGGGAAAAAAAAAAGAGUGUUUGUUGUUUAGAAAAGGGCAUGCAUCAGGGACUCAUUCUUAGAGCAUAAUUAUUAGAAGUUGAAUGUUAAAAUGAUUUCAAGUUGUUUCACCUAUGAAGCUUGAUAUUAAAAUAACUUGACCAUUCUGUUCUCUAAAUCUCAUGCUUCUUUCCAAUGUCUCCUGCUUGUAAGGAGGGUACAUAGGCUGGAUUGUACAAAAGGUGCUUAUACCCUGGCUUGUAAAGGUUGCAUUUUUGCGUUGAUCGUGUUGAUUGAGGAAUAUUGGUUAAAGACUGGCUGUUCUGAACAUGGAGGCAGUGAAGUGUG